rnacentral:rRNA from 1 species
GAUGAACGCUAGCGACAGGCUUAACACAUGCAAGUCGAGGGGCAGCAUAAAAGUAGCAAUACUUUGGUGGCGACCGGCGCACGGGUGAGUAACGCGUAUGCAACCUACCUAUCAGAGGGGAAUAACCCGGCGAAAGUCGGACUAAUACCGCAUAAAACAGGGGCACCGCAUGGUGAUAUUUGUUAAAGAAAUUCGCUGAUAGAUGGGCAUGCGUUCCAUUAGGUAGUUGGUGAGGUAACGGCUCACCAAGCCGACGAUGGAUAGGGGAACUGAGAGGUUGGUCCCCCACACUGGUACUGAGACACGGUCCAGACUCCUACGGGAGGCAGCAGUGAGGAAUAUUGCGCAAUGGGGGAAACCCUGACGCAGCAACGCCGCGUGGGUGAAGAAGGCCUUCGGGUCGUAAAGCCCUUUCGGACGGGACGAACGUUUCGCGGGGCUAAACCGCGAAGCUUGACGGUACCGUAAGAAGAAGCACCGGCUAACUCCGUGCCAGCCGCCGCCGUAA